rnacentral:tRNA from 1 species
AAGAAUUUAGUUAAGUUAUAACAUUAGUUUGUCGAACUGAAAUUAUUUUUCAAAAAUAAUUCUUA